UACAGAGGUCUCGAGCGUUGUUCGGAUUCAUUGGGCGUAAAGGGCGCGUAGGCGGCGGGGUAAGUCUGGUGUGAAAUCUCGGAGCUCAACUCCGAAAUUGCACUGGAUACUGCUCUGCUAGAGGGCUGGAGAGGAGAUCGGAAUUCACGGUGUAGCAGUGAAAUGCGUAGAUAUCGGGAGGAACACCUGUGGCGAAAGCGGCUCACUGGACCACAACUGACCGCUGAUGCACGAAAGCUAGGGGAGCAAACAGG
rnacentral:rRNA from 1 species